GAUCCCAGCUGGAGAGAAGAAAAAACAUCUCUUCAAUUGGGAGAUGGUUGCCAUGGCCACGGUCUGUCUGUAUUCGCCUCUCCUGCUGGAAUCGUCAGAUAUGUUGAAAUCCGGCUGGAAGGACCAAGAAGAUGUCAGACUUGGAAGUGUACAAUGAAGCUGUGAAGAUGAUCCAUGACUUCCCUCAGUUUUAUCCUUUUCAAGUGGCUACAAAUGGAUAAGACUUCAUUCUUUGCCCUAGAAAAAUUAAAAUGCACAAAAUUUGUUUAAUACUGUAGAUAUUAAUAGUUUAUAAUAAUCCUGCAGAAAUGUUAUUGACCGGUAUAAUUAGUUUUGAUAUCGGGGUUUCCCCUACAUGUAAUUGAUCAUGAGGCACCACCAUGGCAAAAAUAAAAGCGGCCACACCUUAAAAGUA